AAUGGAGACGAAGUCUUUUCUGUGAAGCCGGCGUGUGAGCGAUCCGGUGGAGAGAUCACUAGUGAGAAUGAUGACAUGAGUAGCGACAAACAGGGUGAGAGACCCUGUCGCCGAAAGUCCAAGGGUUCCUGCUUAAAGCUAAUCUGAGCAGGGUAAGCCGACCCCUAAGGCGAGGCCGAAAGGCGUAGUCGAUGGGAACCAGGUUAAUAUUCCUGGGCCAGUUAGAAGUGACGGAUCUCGAAGGUAGUUCAUCCUUAUUGGAUUGAAUGGGCUGCUAAGAGGUUCCUGGAAAUAGCUCUAACAUAAGAUCGUACCCUAAACCGACACAG
rnacentral:rRNA from 1 species